rnacentral:rRNA from 1 species
UGGCUCAGGAUGAACGCUAGCGGCAGGCUUAAUACAUGCAAGUCGAGGGGCAGCAUGACUGUAGCAAUACAGUUGAUGGCGACCGGCAAACGGGUGCGGAACACGUACAGAACCUUCCUUCGAGCGGGGAAUAGCCCAGAGAAAUUUGGAUUAAUACCCCAUAGUACAACGGAGUGGCAUCACUUUGUUGUUAAAGAUUUAUCACUUGAAGAUGGCUGUGCGGCUGAUUAGGUAGUUGGCGGGGUAACGGCCCACCAAGCCUGCGAUCAGUAACUGGUGUGAGAGCACGACCAGUCACACGGGCACUGAGACACGGGCCCGACUCCUACGGGAGGCAGCAGUAAGGAAUAUUGGACAAUGCCCGCAAGGGUGAUCCAGCCAUGCCGCGUGCAGGAAGAAGGCCCUAUGGGUCGUAAACUGCUUUUACACCGGAGAAAACCUUCCCUCGUGAGGGGAGCUGAUAGUAUGGUGAGAAUAAGCACCGGCUAACUCCGUG